GCUCAUUAAAUCAGUUAUGGUUUAUUUGAUGGUACCUUACUACUUGGAUAACCGUAGUAAUUCUAGAGCUAAUACAUGCAGGAAGUCCCGACUUCGGAAGGGAUGUAUUUAUUAGAUAAGAAACCAACCCGGCUUGCCGGUUGCGUGCUGAGUCACAAUAACUGCUCGAAUCGCAUGGCCUUGCGCCGGCGAUGGUUCAUUCAAAUUUCUGCCCUAUCAGCUUUCGAUGGUAGGAUCGAGGCCUACCAUGGCGUUUACGGGUAACGGAGAAUUAGGGUUCGAUUCCGGAGAGGGAGCCUGAGAAAUGGCUACCACAUCCAAGGAAGGCAGCAGGCGCGUAAAUUGCCCGAAUCCUGACACAGGGAGGUAGUGACAAGAAAUAACAAUACAGGGCUAUUUUAGUCUUGUAAUUGGAAUGAGUACAAUUUACAUCUCUUCACGAGGAUCAAUUGGAGGGCAAGUCUGGUGCCAGCAGCCGCGGUAAUUCCAGCUCCAAUAGCGUAUAUUAAAGUUGUUGCAGUUAAAACGCUCGUAGUCGGAUUUCGGGGCGGGGCCGCCGGUCUGCCGAUGGGUAUGCACUGGCGGGCGCGUCCUUCCUUCCGGAGACUGGCCCUACUCUUAACUGAGCGGGGUCGGGAGUCGGAUCGUUUACUUUGAAAAAAUCAGAGUGUUUCAAGCAGGCAGCUCGCUCUUGCAUGGAUUAGCAUGGGAUAAUGAAAUAGGACUUUGGUGCUAUUUUGUUGGUUUCGAACACCGAAGUAAUGAUUAACAGGGACAGUCAG
rnacentral:rRNA from 1 species